AUUGAACGCUGGCGGCAUGCUAACACAUGCAAGUCGAACGGUAACAGGUCUAGCUUGCUAGAUGCUGACGAGUGGCGGACGGGUGAGUAACGCGUAGGAACACGCCUUGUAGUGGGGAAUAACCUAGGGAAACUUAGGGUAAUACCGCAUGAUACUUAAGGGUUAAAGCAGGGGCUCGAAAGACCUUGCGCUAUAAGAUCAGCCUGCGUCUGAUUAGCUAGUUGGUGGGGUAAAGGCCUACCAAGGCGAUGAUCGGUAACUGGUAGGCGUGGACGAGCAGGCACAACGGGACCGAGACAAGGCCCCAACUCCGACGGGAAGCAGCAGUGGGGAAUAUUGGACAAUGGGCGCAAGCCUGAUCCAGCAAUGCCGAGUGUGUGAAGAAGGCCCGAGGGUCGUAAAGCACUUUUGUUAGGGAGGAAGGAGUGUGCGUUAAUACCGCAUGCAGCUGACGUUACCUAAAGAAUAAGCACCGGCUAACUCUGUGCCAGCAGCCGCCGUAA
rnacentral:rRNA from 1 species